rnacentral:rRNA from 1 species
UACGGGGGGGGGCUAGCGUUGUUCGAAUUACUGGGCGUAAAGCGCGUGUAGGCGGUUGCCCAAGUCGGGUGUGAAAGCCUUGAGCUCAACUCAAGAAAUGCACUCGGUACUGGGUGACUAGAGGACCGGAGAGGAUAGUGGAAUUCCCAGUGUAGUGGUGAAAUACGUAGAGAUUGGGAAGAACACCAGUGGCGAAGGCGGCUAUCUGGACGGUUUCUGACGCUAAGACGCGAAAGCGUGGGGAGCAAACAGG